CCUACGGGUGGCAGCAGUGAGGAAUAUUGGUCAAUGGACGAGAGUCUGAACCAGCCAAGUAGCGUGAAGGAUGACUGCCCUAUGGGUUGUAAACUUCUUUUAUAUGGGAAUAAAAUGUUCCACGUGUGGGAUUUUGUAUGUACCAUAUGAAUAAGGAUCGGCUAACUCCGUGCCAGCAGCCGCGAUAAUACGGAGGAUCCGAGCGUUAUCCGGAUUUAUUGGGUUUAAAGGGAGCGUAGGUGGAUUGUUAAGUCAGUUGUGAAAGUUUGCGGCUCAACCGUAAAAUUGCAGUUGAAACUGGCAGUCUUGAGUACAGUAGAGGUGGGCGGAAUUCGUGGUGUAGCGGUGAAAUGCUUAGAUAUCACGAAGAACUCCGAUUGCGAAGGCAGUUCACUGGACUGCAACUGACACUGAGGCUCGAAAGUGUGGGUAUCAAACAGGAUUAGAUACCCUUGUAGUC
rnacentral:rRNA from 1 species